AAAAACAUGUCUUUUUGUUUAUGAUUUAAAGUCUGGCCUGCCCAAUGAUUAUUUUUUAAUGGCUGCAGUAUUUUGACUGUACAAAGGUAGCAUAAUCAUUAGUUUCUUAAUUAGGAGCUGGAAUGAAUGGUUUGAUGAAAAAUUUACUGUCUCAAUUUAAUUGUUUUAAAACUUUAUUUUUAAGUGAAAAAGCUUAAAUUUUUUAGAAAGACGAGAAGACCCUAUAGAGUUUAAUAAUUUUUUUUAUUAUAAAUUUAAUGAUUAUAAUAUUUUUAAUUUAAAGAUUUAUUUUGUUGGGGUGAUGCGAAAAUUUAAAAAACUUUUCUAUAUUUUAACACUAAUUAGUGAUUAAAUGAUCCUUUUUGGAUUAAAAGAUUAAAUUACCUUAGGGAUAACAGCGUAAUUUUUUUUGAAAGUUCUUAUUGAUAAAAAAGUUUGCGACCUCGAUGUUGGAUUAAAAUUUAUUUUCGGUGUAGAAGCUGGGAAAUUUAGGUCUGUUCGACC
rnacentral:rRNA from 1 species